CGAACGGGUGAGUAACGCGUGAGGAACCUGCCUCAAAGAGGGGGACAACAGUUGGAAACGACUGCUAAUACCGCAUAAGCCCACGGGUCGGCAUCGACCAGAGGGGAAAGGAGCAAUCCGCUUUGAGAUGGCCUCGCGUCCGAUUAGCUAGUUGGUGAGGUAAUGGCCCACCAAGGCGACGAUCGGUAGCCGGACUGAGAGGUUGAACGGCCACAUUGGGACUGAGACACGGCCCAGACUCCUACGGGAGGCAGCAUG
rnacentral:rRNA from 1 species